rnacentral:rRNA from 1 species
GGGGAUAACACUUGGAAACAGGUGCUAAUACCGUAUAACACUAUUUUCCGCAUGGAAGAAAGUUGAAAGGCGCUUUUGCGUCACUGAUGGAUGGACCCGCGGUGCAUUAGCUAGUUGGUGAGGUAACGGCUCACCAAGGCCACGAUGCAUAGCCGACCUGAGAGGGUGAUCGGCCACACUGGGACUGAGACACGGCCCAGACUCCUACGGGAGGCAGCAGUAGGGAAUCUUCGGCAAUGGACGAAAGUCUGACCGAGCAACGCCGCGUGAGUGAAGAAGGUUUUCGGAUCGUAAAACUCUGUUGUUAGAGAAGAACAAGGAUGAGAGUAAAACGUUCAUCCCUUGACGGUAUCUAACCAGAAAGCCACGGCUAACUACGUGCCAGCAGCCGCGGUAAUACGUAGGUGGCAAGCGUUGUCCGGAUUUAUUGGGCGUAAAGCGAGCGCAGGCGGUUUCUUAAGUCUGAUGUGAAAGCCCCCGGCUCAACCGGGGAGGGUCAUUGGAAACUGGGAGACUUGAGUGCAGAAGAGGAGAGUGGAAUUCCAUGUGUAGCGGUGAAAUGCGUAGAUAUAUGGAGGAACACCAGUGGCGAAGGCGGCUCUCUGGUCUGUAACUGACGCUGAGGCUCGAAAGCGUGGGGAGCGAACAGGAUUAGAUACCCU